AACGCAUAUUGCGCCCUCUGGUAUUCCGGGGGGCAUGCCUGUCCGAGCGUCAUUAUCACCCUUCAAGCACUUAAGCUUGUGUUGAGCUUUAUUUUUGUUCUUUAAUGAACAGGCUCGAAAUUCAGUGGCGAUGCCGAGCUUGGUGCCCAAGCAUUAUAGGGCUUUGUCACAUGCUUUGGUGGCCCAGACCGGUAAUAUUCUGCCUAGCUAUAAUUAUAUAAACUUUAAUGACGAUUGACCUCGGAUCAGGCAAGAAUACCCGCUGAACUUAA
rnacentral:misc_RNA from 1 species